GGCGACGUCAUAACGGCGCCAAGUUACGGCCCUGGUUUUCUGGAAAUCGUCAGUGAUCCGGGGCCAUUAAACGCGUUGUAUGUGUCUUGCAAUUUGAUCCUGGGAGCGCUCGGUGCGCCGAUCGGAGAGUAAUUUACGCGAAUUCCUCGCUCGUCGCCGUCGUCCUGUGUUCUCUUUUCGUGUGUUCCCCCCGUCUCAUCCUUUUCUCUCUCUUGCUCUUUCUUUUUCUCUCUCCACUGUUUGCAGCUUUGUAGCCUUUUACCACCCUCCAGGUGGCCCAGUCCUCUUUUCUCUCAAGUUUUGUCUUUUAGAUUGUCGCGAGUAUCUUCGUCGCAAAUUUCAAUCUUUUCCCACCGAAUUUUCACUCAUUUUCGUCCCUAUUUUAUCAUUGUUUUUUUUAUUACCCUUCACUCGUUAUUCCCGCUGUUUUACAUCUCUGAAUAAACAAGGCGAAGAACAUAAUACAAAAGUUUCAACUUUUUUGCACCGGGGGGCCCAUCGUUUCGUGCACGUCUUGUGAUUUUUUCUGCAAGCUAAAUGAUUGGAAUUUAUCGCUGAGCUGUGAUGCAGGGCAUUAUGCCGGUUAAGACGAAAACCAGGGUGACCGAAAAUAUGGGAGUUAACGGAGGUCUCGUCGACGCUCGCGCCAAACAAGUGCUCAGAGAAGCGGUCGACGCGGUCGUCAACAGUUUUGCGAAGCAUACCCAAGGCUAUGGAAGAGUUAACGUCGUGGAAGCCCUGCAAGAAUUUUGGCAAAUGAAACAGAGUCGAGGAACCGAGCUCCGGAACGGAGCCCUCGUCAUAUACGAAUCCGUGCCAGGGGCCAGUCCUCCGUACGUUUGCUACGUCACUCUCCCCGGGGGCUCGUGUUUUGGAAGCUUUCAAAAUUGUCCGACGAAGGCAGAAGCUCGUAGAUCAGCGGCUAAGAUAGCUCUUAUGAAUUCGGUCUUCAACGAGCAUCCGUCGAGGAAAAUUACGGACGAUUUCAUUGAGAAAGCUGUUGCCGAGGCGAGAGCCAGUUUUGCCAAACCUGCUUCAACUUCGACUGGCGUUGGCACAGUAUUGAGCCAGAGUGCGAACGAUGAGAAAGAGGAUCCGAACACAGGAAUCGGUGCUUUUCGUUUCAUGCUCGAGUGCAAUCGUGGCAGAACGAUGCUCGAGUUCCAAGAACUGAUGACAGUUUUUCAAUUAUUGCAUUGGAACGGUUCGUUGAAAGCGAUGAGAGAGAGACAGUGCAGCAGACAGGAAGUCGUCGCUCAUUACAGCCACCGCGUAUUGGACGACGAUAUGAGAAGUCAAAUGGCGUUGGAUUGGGUGGCACGAGAACACGAAAGUGGUGGCGGCGUCGUUGCCAUGGAAUUGAUCGUCGCUGAGAGGGAAUUAGAAACUGCGAGAUUGGCAGGUCGCGAAUUGAGAUUCCCCAAGGAGAAAAAAGAUAUUCUUAUGCUCGCUCAUGCACAAGUUUGUCCACAGUGAUUUCGUACUCGCAUUUCCAUCGGCUGCCUCGAUCAAAAUUACUAUUACCCCACAAAAACUUUUACUGGCUCGAGGGACUCUUUUUAAAUGGUGAAAACUUUCGGGUGAUUUUUGUCUAAAGACUUUUUAUUUCAAGGGACGCGGUAGCGAUUUGACGCCAACUACGAAGAAAUUCACUUCUAUGCUGAUUUGAUAGUCUCCGCAUUUUGGUGGAAUUUUGGAAUUUAACUUUUUAUGAAUUUCAUACUCUAUUGACAUAAUGAGGAAAUUCAUUUGGACAGAAUUAGUGCAAAAAAUACUGAGUGGGCGGGGGCAAAUAGUGCCACAAAUGCGGAGAUUUUUCUCCCCCAAAGGGGUUUUUCUUUCAGGAGUCCUGAGAGUUCGAAUUGGGGCAUACGAUACCGUAUUUUACGCAGGAGUAUUGGAUCUCCGAUUGAAAAAAAAACUGAAGCCUUUUCAUAUUUAUUAAUAGUGAAAGUAUCGCAUGGAAAUAACACACGAAUUCAAUGUGCCCUCGAUGCGGUUUUAAUUCGAAAUCAUGUGUGCUAGUCACGUUUAUAAAUGUGGAUUAUUGAAAAAAUGCAAUAUUAUUCAGGUGACACAAUUGCUCAUUCGCUUUUGUUGGAUGAAACUCUUCAAGUGUUUUUAUAUGUCCGGGAUAAUAGUUGAAAAUCAUUUUCUCAUUCGCACACAAUGAUUUCACAUUUAUUUGUCUCUGAGAAAGACAAUUGCUGCAUUUACUAGAGAAGAAACUUCUUCCAAGCUCGUUCCUCAAAAAUUCCUCAAAAACGAAAUUCAUUGUUUUUAUUUAUAUUUUUUCAUCACCAAAAUGUGAAAAUUUAUAACGUAUAACUCGAAACGAAUUUCUGGUCACGCGAAACGAAUAUUUAGGUCGAUUGUUAUGGAAAAAUUGUGAAUAUCAUAAACACUGGUUUGUUACGAAAAAAAAAAAAACAAAUUUUAAAGCGUACAAAUUGGACGUAGACAGAAAA
rnacentral:misc_RNA from 1 species